rnacentral:rRNA from 1 species
UACGAGGGGGGCGAGCGUUGUUCGGAAUUAUUGGGCGUAAAGGGCGCGUAGGCGGCUUGGCAAGUGGAUGGUGAAAUCCCUCGGCUUAACCGAGGAACUGCCGUCCAAACUGCUUCGCUUGAGACCGGGAGAGGUGAGUGGAAUUCCCAGUGUAGCGGUGAAAUGCGUAGAUAUUGGGAGGAACACCAGUGGCGAAGGCGGCUCACUGGACCGGUACUGACGCUGAUGCGCGAAAGCGUGGGGAGCAAACGGG